rnacentral:other from 1 species
GAGGCCCUGCUGUGCUCGUGAUCAAGCUGGCUUUGUUAUGAGCCAACACCAUAACAAAGGGAAUCUGACUCUACUGGUGGAAUGCAUGCCACUUUGAGUGGAAGCAAGAAAGCAGUAGGAAGAUACCCACCUGCUGGAGAGCAGGUUCAUUCAGGUCAGCAAAUAGCGGCAUGGUGGGGGACAC